GGUCGCUUAGCUCAGUUGGUUAGAGCGUGGUGCUAAUAUCUUGGUUCCUCUCAAGAGCUUCCAAACUGUUAAACGCCAAGGUCGCGAGUUCGACCCUCGUAGUGACCA
rnacentral:tRNA from 1 species